CACGUAGGGUGCGAGCGUUGUCCGGAAUUAUUGGGCGUAAAGAGCUCGUAGGCGGUGUGUCGCGUCGGCCGUGAAAACCUGCAGCUUAACUGUGGGCUUGCGGUCGAUACGGGCAUCACUGGAGUUCGGCAGGGGAGACUGGAAUUCCUGGUGUAGCGGUGGAAUGCGCAGAUAUCAGGAGGAACACCGGUGGCGAAGGCGGGUCUCUGGACAGUUCCUGACGCUGAGGCACGAAGGCCAGGGGAGCAAACGGG
rnacentral:rRNA from 1 species